rnacentral:rRNA from 1 species
GACGAACCGUGCGAACGUUAUUCGGAAUCACUGGGCUUAAAGCGCGUGUAGGCGGGCGGGCACGUCGGUCGCUGAAAGCCCCCGGCUCAACCGGGGAAGGGGCGCCGAUACGACUCGCCUGGAGGGGCGUAGGGGGGACUGGAACUUCCGGUGGAGCGGUGAAAUGCGUUGAGAUCGGAAGGAACGCCCGUGGCGAAAGCGAGUCCCUGGACGCCAUCUGACGCUGAGACGCGAAAGCCAGGGGAGCGAACGGG